UGGGGAAUUUUGGACAAUGGGCGCAAGCCUGAUCCAGCCAUGCCGCGUGAGUGAAGAAGGCCUUCGGGUUGUAAAGCUCUUUCGGUCGGGAAGAAAUAGUUAUGGCUAAUAUCCAUAAUGAAUGACGGUACCGACAUAAGAAGCACCGGCUAACUACGUGCCAGCAGCCGCGGUAAUACGUAGGGUGCAAGCGUUAAUCGGAAUUAUUGGGCGUAAAGGGUGCGCAGGCGGAUGUAUAAGUCAGAUGUGAAAUCCCCGGGCUUAACCUGGGAAUUGCGUUUGAAACUAUAUGACUAGAGUGUGAUAGAGGGGAGUGGAAUUCCAUGUGUAGCAGUGAAAUGCGUAGAGAUGUGGAAGAACACCGAUGGCGAAGGCAGCUCCCUGGAUUAACACUGACGCUCAUGCACGAAAGCGUGGGGAGCAAACAGG
rnacentral:rRNA from 1 species